UUUCAUUCUUCAGUCAAAGACUUCGCUAUGGUUUCCAAACUAUGACCUAAGUAUACAAAACAACAGGUUCUUAUGGAACUGUGGGACCAUAGGAAUCUCUUUAAAGAAGACACUCUUUUAAAGUGUAUCCUGUCUGACUCCCUUCACCCCCAGCUGGUUGCAGCAGAUGUCUGCCCCCCCCCCCAUUCUGCCGGAGGUUCUUCCUGUGAAAAGGGAGUUUUUCCAUCCACUAUCACCAAGUGCUUGCAGAAGCUCAUCUGAUUGUUGGGGUUUUCUCCAUAUUAUUUAACACCCAUAGAUCAGGAGAAGACUGCUGUGAGUCCUGCACACCUCAAGCGCCAGCAGAAGCAGUGACUGUCAGAGUUGGCAUACGCAAAAGCCAACAUAGUGACCAUGAAUGAGGCUUUACGGUGAUUUUGAAAUGCAGCCUGCCACCAGCUCACAGUGUGUGUGUCCGUGAAUGUGAGCAAACACAAUGGGAACGAGCUUCAGCAAUGAUCCAUUUAGGAGAGAAACAUCUGCAGGUUUCAUACCGCAAGAAGACAGAUCAUCUAACGAGACGGUGAUUUUGAUGGCUUCUUUUUUGACUACUAGAUAUUGUCCAGUUCAUCAGUGGUCUAAGGAGCUUGGAAAGAAAAGCGUCUG